GAAUAUCUGCUUAAUGGAAAAAAUAUCUAUAUUCUUUGAAUAACCAAUUUACUAUUUGUACUUUAGUCAUCUCUGUUAAUGUCAAGCCACAAAGAUUAACAAGAGGAAUCUUUGACCUAAGUGGACAUAAUGCAAAAGUGACUGGUGAGAGGGAACCUGUUCGACUUUUAAAUGGAGCUAAUCUUGGAAAUCCAAUAAUUUUUCAGAAGAGGACUAAGCACUGAGGAGCCCUAUCCUAUGGGAUGAAGCUAAGUCAGAGCCCGCAGCAGCAGAGAGCUCAGUACAGACCAGCUACCCGAGCAUCUACACACCGUUUCAGGAAGGCUUUGCAGUCGGGCCGAGCCCUGAUACCACCGAGCCCCUUAAAGCGCGACAGCAGCGUAAAACACGUGCUGCCUUAGGAGACGGGAGCUGUGGUUUUUGCUCUUCUCCCAGGUGCGUCAUCCAGAGGACCUUCCUGCAGUUUAGAUCUCUGGUGGUGCCCGUGACACUGGUGACAGAUCUGUUUGGUCAUGUGCCUGUUCAAGCACGAUAACAUCUAGCACACUGUCUUAGUGCAGCAGUGGGGCAGAAAACUAUUAACAAGGUAAGAAUUUUAUAAUAUCUGCUUUUUUUUUUUUUAAAUAAUGCACACAUUUUGUAUAUAUGGACUGGUC
rnacentral:lncRNA from 1 species